rnacentral:rRNA from 1 species
CUUGGCGACCAUAGCGUUAUGGACCCACCUGAUCCCAUGCCGAACUCAGUAGUGAAACGUAGUAGCGCCGAUGGUAGUGUGGGGUCUCCCCAUGUGAGAGUAGGACAUUGCUAAGU